rnacentral:tRNA from 1 species
GGUCCGUUGGUCAAGGGGUUAAGACACCGCCUUUUCAACGGCGGUAACCACCGGGUCGAAUCCCGUACGGACUA